rnacentral:piRNA from 1 species
UGCUUUGCAGUGCCUUGCUGUGUUUC